AUGAAGCAGCAGAACAUGAUGAAGCAUUUUUCCCCCAUCUAAAGAUCCAGUCGUGCUCCAGUUUGCAGAGGGCAAGGGGCUGGUUGCAGGUGGUGCUGGGAGGAUGGAGUAGAGAUGGGGUUUCACCGUGUUAACCAGGAAUGUCUCGAUCUCCUGACCUCGUGAUCCACCCGCCUCAGCCUCCCAAAGUGUUGGGAUUACAGGCGUGAGCUACCACGCCCGGCCCUAGGCUCCACAACUCUAAGAAGCUUUGAAUGUCCCUGGCACAAGUUUCCAAGGAUAGACCCUCUGUGUGAAGGGGAGCAGCUGCCUUUGAGCAAUCAGCAGUAACUGCUUGGGGAGGCUUAGUCCCCUAAUAGUUCAGAAGUCACCUCCAAGGUCAGACGGACCCACAGCUGAACGCCAACACUUCCACUUCUCGGAAAGCCCAACGUGUAAACUGAUGACAGACUAUCCUGGAGGAAGAGGUGGGGCAGCCUGGAGUUUUCCUCUGGACAUCCUGAGAGGGAUACUGAAGCACUCAGGAGGGGUCUUAGACCUGCCCAAGCUCACUCACACAGUUUGAGAAGAGCUGCGCUUAGACCACAGGCCUCUUGGCUCCUGGGAAGCUGAGAGCAUCGGCGUGGGAGUUCGUCAGACAGGGGCAAGUUCCAACCGCAGCUCAGUGACCUCAGACAAGCCCCCUCACCUCGCAGAACCAGGUUCUUCUUCAGAGUUGUAGGAAGGAGUGGAGGAGGGUCUCCGCAUGUCAGAUGUCCACACAGUGCCUGGGAGCUGAGGUUGUCAUGGUUACCAAGAGGCCAGUCUCAGGGCUGCUGUGAUGACCUGGGCUGCUCUCCCAUUCCCAAGAAGGGGAGAACUCCUCAGAUUCCCUACUCUGCUCUUCUUGCUCCCUCCCAAGCAAUACAUGAGCAGGAAUUUGUCCUCUGCAGGAAUGUGCAGCGAGAAAGUCUCCUUUUUUGAUGAGACAGCGAUGAGGUGAUGUCUGGUUUUUUAUAUCCUCACUUGCUGAACUGGUGCCAGAUGUAAGAGUCCAGGCUGGAUUCCAUUAGCCAUAUUUGUCCUCUGGGCUCCCAGCCCUGCAGGACCUUCUGGGGGCCCACCUUGAGACCCUCCAGUUGGUAAGAAGUUGGCUGGGGCAAAUGAUGCAGCCCUAAGACGAACCAUUUCCACUGGGGACUCAGGCAGGGUCCCUGAGAGCCUGACUUACUCGAGUCUUUUCUUUAAAAAUUAAAAAAACAAGGCUGGGCGCGGUGGCUCACGCCUGUAAUCCC
rnacentral:lncRNA from 1 species